rnacentral:rRNA from 1 species
GGGUCAGUAGGUUGGUCGUGCCACCGGUACGUACCGGUCUCACUGAUUCCUCCUUCCUGAAGAACCGUAAUGCCAUUAAUUUGGUGUUGCGGGGAAACAGGACUGUUACUUUGAAAAAAUUAGAGUGUUUAAAGCAAGCUAACGCUUGAAUACAUUAGCAUGGAAUAACGAAAUAGGACGAUCGAUCCUAUUUUGUUGGUUUCUAGGAUUGACGUA